AUUGAACGCUGGCGGCAUGCUUUACACAUGCAAGUCGAACGGUAACAGGCCGCAAGGUGCUGACGAGUGGCGAACGGGUGAGUAAUGCAUCGGAACGUGCCCAGUCGUGGGGGAUAACUACUCGAAAGAGUAGCUAAUACCGCAUACGAUCUAUGGAUGAAAGCGGGGGACCGUAAGGCCUCGCGCGAUUGGAGCGGCCGAUGUCAGAUUAGGUAGUUGGUGGGGUAAAGGCUCACCAAGCCAACGAUCUGUAGCUGGUCUGAGAGGACGACCAGCCACAGGGGGAAUGGGAAACGGCCCAGACCCCUAGGGGGGGCAGCGGUGGGGAAUUUUGGAAAAUGGGCGCAAGCCUGAUCCAGAAAUGCCGGGGGAAGGAAGAGGGCCUUCGGGUUGUAAACUGUUUUUGUACGGAACGAAACGGUUCUGGUUAAUACCCGGGGCUAAUGACGGUACCGAAAAAAAAAGCACCGGCAAACUACGU
rnacentral:rRNA from 1 species